ACUCUAAUAGGGCUUUUCAUAUUUAUCCUCUUAAAAACCAUAGAAGUCCGAUUUCGACAUGCUCGAAACUGACAAAAAGCAUAUGGGGGGGUUGUGAUGAAGGGAGGAUCCUUGGAACUAGAGUUCAGUUCUGUGCAGAUCAAAUCAAGGAACUAGAGUCCAUAGAGUUCACAGAACUGGACUAUCCAAGAACAGAGUUCUGAUCAUGGUGGAUCCACGACCAAGGUAAGAAAGGAAUCAGCCAACACAACUAUACCGUACAAAUUGGAACUUCAGUGUGCCAUCAAAAGUUGUUCCAUUACCGAGUGCAAUCAGAAGGUAGCCACGUUGUUUGAAGGACCCGGUGCGUGUCGGAGAAUAGUGUCCUUUGCAUAUUCAAAUGGCACCUAAGCGAGUGGUCCCCUCCUUAAGUGGAGCUUGGCUCUCCGGACCCCAAAACUCCAAACCUCAAGUGAAUGAGGAAGGAAGGACCCUGCCAAUAAGGUUCUGUGCAACUAGUGUCCUUGGAAGAAGUUCCAGCAACCGUGGACUCCAAAGCCCCAAACUUGAACCGUGUCCCGAAAUUUGGACGUUUGGAUCUCGCUUGUGAACCGUUGGAUUGCCACGGAGUUUUUCUGGUGUGUGCUCCUUCAGAGGAUCUAUCUUCCCACCGUUGCGAUUGGCGAAAAGGUACCUGGUUCAGCCGCCGCCGCAAUCCCUAGGUCGUCCAUAACCCUAGCCACCGCCAUAGAUAGGGUCACCUUGAUCUCCUGAUUCCUGGCUCCAAAUCGCUUGUUCUUGGACUCACAAUGAUCGUGGGGAUGUGCUCUCUCCAGCCGUGAAAAGGAAUCAUGGAAAAUACAGGUGGGCAGCUUGCAGUGACUAAAAGAGUACUCUUAAACAUGUUUGCUCAUGGAACAUGCAAAUCCAUUGAAACCAAAGCACGACUCGCUCUCAGCAUCAUCCUUAUUGCUCUCCUAGUCCUACUCCUACUUUGGAUCAAGCACGAAAGUUGACUCUCAAGGCACUCCUCUUCUUGCUAAACUUAGGGUUUUUCUCCUCUAGUCCAACUUUCUCAAGUAUCACACUCUGAAAUGGCCAUGCCAGUGCUGGAAUGCAU
rnacentral:lncRNA from 1 species